GACGAACGCUGGCGGCGUGCCUAAUACAUGCAAGUAGAACGCUGAAGGAGGAGCUUGCUUCUCUGGCUGAGUUGCGAACGGGUGAGUAACGCGUAGGUAACCUGCCUGGUAGCGGGGGAUAACUAUUGGAAACGAUAGCUAAUACCGCAUAAUAGCAUUUGUUGCAUGAUAACUGUUUGAAAGGUGCAAUUGCACCACUACCAGAUGGACCUGCGUUGUAUUAGCUAGUUGGUGGGGUUACGGCUCACCAAGGCGACGAUACAUAGCCGACCCGAGAGGGUGAUCGGCGAAGCUGGGACGGGGACACGGCCCAGACUCCUACGGGAGGCAGCAGUAGGGAAUCCUCAGCAAGGGACGGAAGUCUGACCGAGCAACGCCGCGUGAGUGACGAAGCUUGUCGGAUCGUGAAGCUCUGUUGUAAGAGAAGAACGAGUGUGAGAGUGGAAAGUGCACACAGUGACGGUAUCGGACCAGAAAGCGACGGCUAACUACGUG
rnacentral:rRNA from 1 species